rnacentral:rRNA from 1 species
AUUAUCAUCAGUAUUCUUCUUUAGUUCUAAAGAGAUAUUUUUCCUGUUUAAGGUGGCUUAAAGAGAAUUAAGUUUAAUUAUGGCUUUAGGAUUAGUUCAAUAAAUAAUUUAUAUGUUGAUAUUUUUAAAAUCAUAUUAAACAGUCUAUGAUAUUUCUGAUUUAUAUAACGUUAAAGAAGUAAUUUAGUUUAUAAUUGAUUAAUAUUGUGCCAGCAGUCGCGGUUAUACAUUAAAUUUAUAUUAAUUCUUUAAGUUUAGAUAUUUAUAAAUAUUCUGAAUAUUGAAAUUUGAUAUUUAGGUGAAAUUUAUAUUUAAUAUAUUUUUCUAUUCUAUAGGUAUAUUAAAAUUUUUUUGUAGACUAGGAUUAGAUACCCUAUUAUUAAAUAUUAAGUUGCUUAACUUGAAUAAAAGUAGUUAUAUUCUUCAUAACUCAAAUGAUUUGGCGGUAAAUUAUAUUUUUCAGAGGAACCUGUAAAUUGAUUGAUAAACCACAAUAGUUUAUACUUUAUAUUUACUUAUAUAUCUCUAUAGAAGGAUUAUUUUAUAAGAAUUAUUUUCUUUAAAU